GAGUUUGAUCAUGGAUCAGGAUGAACGCUAGCGGCAGGCUUAACACAUGCAAGUCGAGGGGCAUCGAGAGAGUAGCAAUACUUUUGUCGGCGACCGGCGGACGGGUGCGUAACGCGUAUGCAACCUACCUUAUACAGGGGGAUAACCUUUCGAAAGGGAGACUAAUACCGCAUAACAUUACUUUGAGGCAUCUUGAGGUAAUUAAAUCUUCGGAGGUAUAAGAUGGGCAUGCGUAGCAUUAGCUAGAUGGUGCGGUAACGGCGUACCAUGGCGACGAUGCUUAGGGGUUCUGAGAGGAAGGUCCCCCACACUGGUACUGAGAUACGGACCAGACUCCUACGGGAGGCAGCAGUGAGGAAUAUUGGUCAAUGGUCGGAAGACUGAACCAGCCAUGCCGCGUGCAGGAAGAAUGUCUUAUGGAUUGUAAACUGCUUUUGUAUGGGAAUAAUAAUAGCUUUGCGAAGUUAGAUGCAUGUACCAUACGAAUAAGGAUCGGCUAACUCCGUGCCAGCAGCCGCGGUAAUACGGAGGAUUCGAGCGUUAUCCGGAUUUAUUGGGUUUAAAGGGUGCGUAGGCGGUUAAAUAAGUUUGAGGUUAAAUGCGUUAGCUCAACUAGCGUUUGCCUUGAAAACUGUUUGACUAGGAUGUAAACGGCGCAGGCGGAAUGAAUCAUGUAGCGGUGACAUGCAUAGAUAUGAUUCAGAACACCGAUCGCGAAGGCAGCUUGCGAGGAUACGAUUGACGCUGAAGCACGAAAGCGUGGGUAUCGAACAGGAUUAGAUACCCUGGUAGUCCACGCUGUAAACGAUGAUAACUAGAUG
rnacentral:rRNA from 1 species